UUGUAAACAAUGAGAAUUGAGGCGUUGGGGUUAUGUCCACCUUCUGAGGUAUACGUCUCUAUUGGCUAUGAGUGUGUAGAGUCUUGACAUGUAAUUGCUUAUAGAGAAUUGUAGUCGAUGGUAAAUCCAAGCGUCUCUCGACCUAAACAAGGACUAUUUCACUUUAACUCUCUCGAGCUUAAAGCGUGACUAACGGUACGAAUUCUCCAAGAAGUUAGUCCAGGUACGGCACUAGCUUUUUAAUAGGAAAGGGUGUCCUACUACCUUGACAUUAUCUCUUUUCCAGACAAAUAACUUUGCUCUCGAACAAGUCAGAUGUUAGACUGGCGUUGGUCUAUGCGUCUUCUUUUCUAGACAAAUAACCUUUCUCUCGAACAGGUUAGAUGUUAGAAUGGCGUGUUCUUGUGUUUGAACCGCAAAGAAUGUAGAUUUAAGAUGAAGAGAAUAAUGAUAUAAGCAAUAUACUUGUCUUGAACUCACAAACUCAUAGCUAUAGAUAGUAACUCAUUCGGCUUCCAUAACCCCAACUAAGAGAUUUAGUUACCCAUGAAUGCGAAGGAUAUCACGCUUUGCAUGGUGGAUGGCGUGAAUAGUAGGUGUUUGGCGUGUGGUUUUAGUGAUUCCGUAGCAAGUAACGAUUCUCUUGUUGUGGAAUUUAAGAGUAGAAGAAUGAAGAAUUGAGAAUGGGUUGUAGGAAGAUGUCUUAAUUGUAAGGAGAUGAAUGAAUUGUCAGAAUG
rnacentral:lncRNA from 1 species